AGAAGACCUCCGUCUCGAUCAAGGCUUGAAGCAAACGCAGAUUGUAAAAAAGCGGGAUGACGUGUGAAGGUCAUCCCGC
rfam:Pseudomonas sp. EGD-AK9 Contig_4, whole genome shotgun sequence.